ensembl:ncRNA F21H7.17 ncRNA
ACUUACGUUUUCCAUUACUCUCCAUCCGGCUAGCUGUGUUCACUGCAUCUCCAAAUAGACAGUAUCGCGGCAUUGUUAGCCCGACGACUCCAGC